UACGGAGGGAGCUAGCGUUGUUCGGAUUUACUGGGCGUAAAGCGCACGUAGGCGGCAUAGUAAGUCAGGGGUGAAAUCCCGGGGCUCAACCCCGGAACUGCCCUUGAAACUGCUAAGCUUGAAUCUUGGAGAGGCGAGUGGAAUUCCGAGUGUAGAGGUGAAAUUCGUAGAUAUUCGGAAGAACACCAGUGGCGAAGGCGACUUACUGGACACAUAUUGACGCUGAGGUGCGAAAGCGUGGGGAGCAAACAGG
rnacentral:rRNA from 1 species